ACCCAGCAUAGUUUGGUCGAAAACCCAAUCGGUGACUAAGCAUGUAGACGGUACGGUGUUUCCUUAUCUGGACGCGAGUUCGAAUCUCGCCAGCUCCACAA
rnacentral:tmRNA from 1 species